UGAGGAGAAGGAGGCCUUCCAAAAGGCUUUCCACACCUACGGCAAGGAUUUCCAUCUCAUCCAGAAGCAGAUCCCGAGUAAGACUGUGGCACAGUGUGUGGAGUACUACUACUGCUGGAAAAAAGAGCAGAAACUUGCCAGCAGCACUCUUGCUCAGGGAGUUUGAAACCAUCAAGGAGAGGAACAAGCACAGGAGAAGACAUCGCCCACGCAAGGAUGCACAGCCUCUCCCCAAGAAGAAAAGGCCAAAUUAGCCCUGCAUUUGCCCCAGGCUAGCAAGAGUUAUGCGUCUGCAGGACUAGAUAGAAAUAAGAUUGUUUUUCAAGUUUUUAGGAUUGUUUAUUCUUCUAUUAGUUUACAUGAUAGGAAUCCCUCUGUUUAUUAGCUAAGAUAUAUAUAAGAUAUAUAACUAUUAUUAAAGAUGUAUUAGUAGUGUUAGAUUUAGCAAUAAAUGUUUGGUGUUUGGUGUU